GUUGAAGCCAACCCAUCGUAUGGUGCUUGUUUGAACAGUUGGGAAACCAAAGCAAACAGCAAGGGCAAAGUCCCCGAGGAGGGAAAGAGCUUGACAUUGCCCAGGAGCAGCAAGGCCAGACGUACCAGGAAUGAAGAAAGCAAGAGCCAGCAGGGCCCCAGACCACACCGGGAAGUCUGGAUUUGACUGGGGGUGAGCUGGGAAACUAUUUGAAAACUCAAUGUCACAAUAAAUGGUGGCCAUUCAUAAGAUUACAGCAUGGUGAAACCAGAGCAGGUGUGCAGCCAUUUCCCAAAGAGAGAAGCAACCCACUGAUGGUGUGUGAGAUCAUUUUACACAGCAUAUGGCCUCAACCACAUUCGCACUGCUGGGAGGAGGUUUUGAACUCUGAUCCGUGUGGUUCUGAGUCCUGAGCUACACCUCCAGGAGAGGCCAGCAGAGCCAGGGCAGCCCCUUCAAGGGUAAGUGGCACCCCCUGAGCACUGUCUUCCUCCCGGAGUUCUGAAGGAGUCACUGGUUCCCUGCUGUGUCACUGGCCUCCUCCGGCCCGCGGGUCCCUGCUGGAGUGGAAGCCUGACCUGUUGUUCCAACCCCACCAAACCUCCUGAUGUCCAGCCCCUCGGUCAAGGUUGCUGUGCAGGCGGAAUAAAGGCUCCCCAAAGAGGCCCACGCCCUAAUCCCCAGCACCUGUGACGAAGUUACCUUACAGAGCAAAAGGAACUUUGCAGAUGUGCAAUACCUGGAGGAGCAGCAGCCAUCUUGGGAGCAUGAGGGCAAAAUCCCUAAGGAUGCUGGAACGGACAGACAGAAGAGCCCGAGUCCCUGACAACAUCAUGGAGCCUCUGUGUCAACCCUGGACCCCCUUCCUCUGGACAUCUUGUAAUGUGAGAGAGAGAACCCCUACCCAGGUCUUCUGACUCCAUUCAUCCAAUCAACCAGAGGCUUAAAUGUUUGGUUCAGGGGAUACAGCAAUGAACAAAACAGGCAUGGACCCUGCUGUCAUGGAGCAGACAUUCUAGUGGGGAGAUGGUGCUGCCACGCUGUCUGCAGCUUCCAACGGAACAGGAUCUUCUCUGGAGCACAGCCCAGACCCAGGACCUCUGCCUGGUCUUCCAGAGGCCAGACAGCCACGAGACCCAGGGACCCCUGAGCCGAGUGGGCUUGGGACUGCAAGGCCUGAAGAUAUCGCUGGUGUUACCAGCCUGGCACCCCCACCCCCAUUCCCCCAAACCUCCUCCUUAGCCUGGGGGAAAUGUGGGGGUGUUUGUGGUUGGAGCAGUGAGCCAUUUCCCAUCAGGGCUGUCUGAUGUUAACAUUUUCCACUCUAACCCUCAGCUGCUUUGCUAAGCAACGUGGUCAUGUGCUCCUGCCUUGGGGGGGGUGGCGUGGUCCCUGCUCCAGAGGGGCUUCUCAGGGAUGACAGAGGGUGAGGAUGUGUCCGCCGAAAAUGAAUGGGCAGGAUU